rnacentral:rRNA from 1 species
UACGUAGGGCGCAAGCGUUGUCCGGAAUUAUUGGGCGUAAAGAGCUCGUAGGCGGUCCGUUGCGUCUGCCGUGAAAACCCGAGGCUUAACCUCGGGCCUGCGGUGGAUACGGGCGGACUAGAGGUAGGUAGGGGAGAAUGGAAUUCCCGGUGUAGCGGUGAAAUGCGCAGAUAUCGGGAGGAACACCGGUGGCGAAGGCGGUUCUCUGGGCCUUACCUGACGCUGAGGAGCGAAAGCUAGGGGAGCAAACGGG